rnacentral:rRNA from 1 species
GAUGAACGCUGGCGGCGUGCCUAAUACAUGCAAGUCGAACGAGGUGCCUUGUAGCAAUACGAAGUAUCCUAGUGGCGAACGGGUGAGUAACGCGUUGGUGACCUACCCCAAAGUGUGGGAUAACAGUCCGAAAGGAUUGCUAAUACCGCAUGUGGUCUCUGGGUUUAGAAACCGGUGACUAAAGGAGCAAUUCGCUUUGGGAGGGACCUGCGUCCCAUCAGCUAGUUGGUGAGGUAAUGGCUCACCAAGGCGACGACGGGUAGGGGACCUGAGAGGGUGGCCCCCCACAAUGGAACUGAAACACGGUCCAUACACCUACGGGUGGCAGCAGUAGGGAAUAUUGGUCAAUGGGCGAAAGCCUGAACCAGCAACGCCGCGUGUGCGAUGAAGGCCUUCGGGUCGUAAAGCACUUUUCUGGGAGAUGAGAAAGGACAGUAUCCCAGGAAUAAGUCUCGGCUAACUACGUGCCAGCCGCCGCCGUAAUAC